rnacentral:rRNA from 1 species
CGUCGGUGUUAACUGGCAUGUCCUGUGGAACGUCCUGCCGGUGGCGGUCCGGGCUCUCGGCUUGCGUAAAGGCUCACGCCCGAAGCAGGCCGAACAGUACCGGCCGCCGGUCCAAUCCCGCCACGGUGCUCUUCACCGAGUGUCGAGGUGGGCCGGCACGUUUACUUUGAACAAAUUAGAGUGCUUAAAGCAGGCUGGUGUCCGCCUGAAUACUGUGUGCAUGGAAUAAUGGAAUAGGACCUCGGUUCUAUUUUGUUGGUUUUCGGAACCCGAGGUAAUGAUUAAUAGGGACAGGCGGGGGCAUUCGUAUUGCGACGUUAGAGGUGAAAUUCUUGGAUCGUCGCAAGACGAACCUAAGCGAAAGCAUUUGCCAAGUAUGUUCUCGUUAAUCAAGAACGAAAGUUAGAGGUUCGAAGGCGAUCAGAUACCGCCCUAGUUCUAACCAUAAACGAUGCCAGCCAGCGAUCCGCCGAAGUUCCUCCGAUGACUCGGCGGGCAGCUUCCGGGAAACCAAAGCUUUUGGGUUCCGGGGGAAGUAUGGUUGCAAAGCUGAAACUUAAAGGAAUUGACGGAAGGGCACCACCAGGAGUGGAGCCUGCGGCUUAAUUUGACUCAACACGGGAAACCUCACCAGGCCCGGACACCGGAAGGAUUGACAGAUUGAGAGCUCUUUCUUGAUUCGGUGGGUGGUGGUGCAUGGCCGUUCUUAGUUGGUGGAGCGAUUUGUCUGGUUAAUUCCGAUAACGAACGAGACUCUAGCCUGCUAACUAGGCGAUUUCCGGUACCCACAAUAGUGUUACCGGCGAUUCAAUUUCUUCUUAGAGGGACAGGCGGCUCCUAGCCGCACGAGACUGAGCAAUAACAGGUCUGUGAUGCCCUUAGAUGUCCUGGGCCGCACGCGCGCUACACUGAAGGAAUCAGCGUGUCUUCCCUGGCCGACAGGCCCGGGUAACCCGUUGAACCUCCUUCGUGCUAGGGAUUGGGGCUUGCAAUUGUUCCCCAUGAACGAGGAAUUCCCAGUAAGCGCGAGUCAUAAGCUCGCGUUGAUUACGUCCCUGCCCUUUGUACACACCGCCCGUCGCUACUACCGAUUGAAUGAUUUAGUGAGGUCUUCGGACUGGUGCGCGGCGAUCGGCUUAUACUGCCGGCCGCCGAUGUUGCCGGAAAGAUGACCAAACUUGAUCAUUUAGAGGAAGUAAAAGUCGUAACAAGG